GAUUGGAACAUUUUGCACAGUGGUGCUUUUGGAGACUGUGGUUGCUCACAGCUGGAGGUUUUCAUGAUGCAGCUAGGAGGUUGCUGUGGUAUAAAGACAAAUUGGAUGCUAUUAUAGCAGAAAGGACCUAGGACUUGAAUGGAUUGACCAGUUUUUGGGGCAUCCUUCCAUUAAGUUGAAGGUUUCUCUACUCUGCUUAUUGGACCAAGCUUUUCAUGGGAUAGAUUGGAACAUUUUGCAUCAGCGGUGCUUUCGGAGACUGAUUGCAGAAGCUGGAAAUUCAAGGUAAGUUAGUUUUUGUCCAUCAAAAGAUUGCAAAUGGUGGCUUUUAGAUCAAUACUGUUCUUAGUAAGUUGAAAACUCUCAAGGAACAAUGCCAAGACUGAUAUAUGGUAGAGAUCUGUAUAAGUUUCUUAGUAGACACACUUCUCGUUACUUUCACUUCACAUGAUAAUUUUUCCGUUCAUUAAAACUUUCGCGGUUGAAGGAUUUCAACAAAGAAAGUUACAAAUGACUGCUACGCCAUGAAUCUUAUAGGCUUUUAAAGUGUACUUAGCAAUAUCUGUUCAUCUUAAUAGGUUACAACUUG